rnacentral:rRNA from 1 species
GUGGGGAAUCUUCCGCAAUGGACGAAAGUCUGACGGAGCGACGCCGCGUGAGUGAAGAAGGCCUUCGGGUCGUAAAGCUCUGUCAUCAGGGACGAACGGCCGGUGGAGUGGAAAGCCACCGGAUUGACGGUACCUGAGAAGGAAGCCACGGCUAACUACGUGCCAGCAGCCGCGGUAAUACGUAGGUGGCAAGCGUUGUCCGGAAUUAUUGGGCGUAAAGCGCGCGCAGGUGGGAUCUUAAGUCCAUUUUUAAAGUUCGGAGCUCAACUCCGUGAUGGGAUGGAAACUGGGAUUCGUGAGUACCGGAGAGGAAAGCGGAAUUCCCCGUGUAGCGGUGAAAUGCGUAGAGAUUUGGAAGAACACCAGUGGCGAAGGCGACUUUCUGGACGAUGUCUGACGCUGAGGCGCGAAAGCUAGGGGAGCGAACGGGAUUAGAUACCCGAGUAGUCC